rnacentral:rRNA from 1 species
UACGAAGGGGGCUAGCGUUGUUCGGAAUUACUGGGCGUAAAGCGCGUGUAGGCGGGUCUUUUAAGUCAGGGGUGAAAUGCCAAGGCUCAACCUUGGAACUGCCUUUGAUACUGGAGAUCUUGAGUCCGGGAGAGGUGAGUGGAAUUGCGAGUGUAGAGGUGAAAUUCGUAGAUAUUCGCAAGAACACCAGUGGCGAAGGCGGCUCACUGGCCCGGAACUGACGCUGAGACGCGAAAGCGUGGGGAGCAAACAGG